GGGGACACGGGAGAGGGCGGGGCCCUGAGACUCGCCUGUGCGUCCCCCGCCGGGCCGCUCCGGCGUUUUGUCCCAGCUCUCGCCACGCAGUUCGGUGCCAGCGACGGAAAGGCACAGGGGCCCGCGGUGGGACAAUUCAUGGAUUUUGGCACUGAUGCCAGCUGAGAGAUGGCCUAGCCAAAACGUCCUUGACCUGUAGGCGUCUGGGAUGAAACCGAGAACUUUGUUAUGUUUUUUCGGUGGAGGUUUUAGAUGCCUGAUGAAAAUGCUGUCCCUUCAGAAUGUUCUACAUAUUAUCUAUCGCUGAAGGUCUGGGCGACUACCCAGAUUUCAUUUCAUAAACAUUCCUCCUCGUACUCCCUGCUUUUCAGGGGUAGGGAGGCCGACUCUGCAGCAGAGGGAAACCUCUCCCAAGACCCCUGCAUCUUUCGGUCUUUUUUUUUUUUUUUUUUUUUUUUGUCCUCCAAUUUUCAUGAGCACAGCUUCACAUCCCUAGCCUAUUGCUCUGAGCCACUGUGGUGCCAAGGAGGGGAGAAGAAGUUUGAGCCCCUCCCUAUAGACUCCAUCAGGAAACCUGAAAUAAAAUGUAA